rnacentral:rRNA from 1 species
UACGAAGGGGGCUAGCGUUGCUCGGAUUGACUGGGCGUAAAGGGCGCGUAGGCGGCCAACUAAGUCGGACGUGAAAUCCCUCGGCUUAACCGGGGAACUGCGUCCGAUACUGGAUGGCUUGAGUUCGGGAGAGGGAUGCGGAAUUCCAGGUGUAGCGGUGAAAUGCGUAGAUAUCGGGAGGAACACCUGUGGCGAAAGCGGCUCACUGGACCACAACUGACGCUGAGGCGCGAAAGCUAGGGGAGCAAACAGG